AACGAACGCUGGCGGCAGGCCUAACACAUGCAAGUCGAACGCUCCAGCAAUGGAGAGUGGCAGACGGGUGAGUAACACGUGGGAACCUUCCCUAUGGUUCGGAAUAGCUCAGGGAAACUUGGGGUAAUACCGGAUAAGCCCUUCGGGGGAAAGAUUUAUCGCCAUUGGAUGGGCCCGCGUCGGAUUAGCUAGUUGGUGAGGUAACGGCUCACCAAGGCGACGAUCCGUAGCUGGUCUGAGAGGAUGAUCAGCCACACUGGGACUGAGACACGGCCCAGACUCCUACGGGAGGCAGCAGUGGGGAAUAUUGGACAAUGGGCGCAAGCCUGAUCCAGCCAUGCCGCGUGAGUGACGAAGGUCUUCGGAUUGUAAAGCUCUUUUGGCGGGGACGAUAAUGACGGUACCCGCAGAAUAAGCCCCGGCUAACUUCGUG
rnacentral:rRNA from 1 species